UACAGAGGGGGCGAGCGUUGUUCGGAAUUACUGGGCGUAAAGAGCGCGCAGGCGGUCGAUCAAGUCGAGUGUGAAAGCCCCCCGGCUCAACUGGGGAGGGUCAUUCGAUACUGAUCGACUCGAAGGCAGGAGAGGGUAGUGGAAUUCCCGGUGUAGUGGUGAAAUGCGUAGAUAUCGGGAGGAACACCAGUGGCGAAGGCGACUACCUGGCCUGUUCUUGACGCUGAGGCGCGAAAGCUAGGGGAGCAAACGGG
rnacentral:rRNA from 1 species